AUAGUACCAUAACCUUCCGCCCCUUUAUUUAUUUCAACAUCUUUGUCACAGUAGUGGGAGAGUAGAGUAGCUUAAGUAGUUCCGACCGACAAAGAGGAGAAGAAAAAUGGAGGAAGAACAAGAGUAUCUUUUCAAGAUUGUGGUGAUUGGGGACUCUGCCGUUGGCAAAUCCAACUUGCUGUCCCGUUUUGCCCGUGAUGAAUUUGACCAUAACUCUAAGGCCACCAUUGGAGUUGAGUUUCAAACACAAGUUGUUGAAGUUGAUGGUAAGGAAAUUAAGGCCCAGGUUUGGGAUACUGCUGGUCAAG
rnacentral:misc_RNA from 1 species